rnacentral:rRNA from 1 species
AUAACCGGCGAUUUCCGAAUGGGGAAACCCAGUGUGUUUCGACACACUAUCAUUAACUGAAUCCAUAGGUUAAUGAGGCGAACCGGGGGAACUGAAACAUCUAAGUACCCCGAGGAAAAGAAAUCAACCGAGAUUCCCCCAGUAGCGGCGAGCGAACGGGGAGGAGCCCAGAGCCUGAAUCAGUGUGUGUGUUAGUGGAAGCGUCUGGAAAGGCGCGCGAUACAGGGUGACAGCCCCGUACACAAAAAUGCACAUAUUGUGAGCUCGAUGAGUAGGGCGGGACACGUGGUAUCCUGUCUGAAUAUGGGGGGACCAUCCUCCAAGGCUAAAUACUCCUGACUGACCGAUAGUGAACCAGUACCGUGAGGGAAAGGCGAAAAGAACCCCGGCGAGGGGAGUGAAAAAGAACCUGAAACCGUGUACGUACAAGCAGUGGGAGCCUCUUAAUGGGGUGACUGCGUACCUUUUGUAUAAUGGGUCAGCGACUUAUAUUCUGUAGCAAGGUUAACCGAAUAGGGGAGCCGAAGGGAAACCGAGUCUUAACUGGGCGUUAAGUUGCAGGGUAUAGACCCGAAACCCGGUGAUCUAGCCAUGGGCAGGUUGAAGGUUGGGUAACACUAACUGGAGGACCGAACCGACUAAUGUUGAAAAAUUAGCGGAUGACUUGUGGCUGGGGGUGAAAGGCCAAUCAAACCGGGAGAUAGCUGGUUCUCCCCGAAAGCUAUUUAGGUAGCGCCUCGUGAAUUCAUCUCCGGGGGUAGAGCACUGUUUCGGCAAGGGGGUCAUCCCGACUUACCAACCCGAUGCAAACUGCGAAUACCGGAGAAUGUUAUCACGGGAGACACACGGCGGGUGCUAACGUCCGUCGUGAAGAGGGAAACAACCCAGACCGCCAGCUAAGGUCCCAAAGUCAUGGUUAAGUGGGAAACGAUGUGGGAAGGCCCAGACAGCCAGGAUGUUGGCUUAGAAGCAGCCAUCAUUUAAAGAAAGCGUAAUAGCUCACUGGUCGAGUCGGCCUGCGCGGAAGAUGUAACGGGGCUAAACCAUGCACCGAAGCUGCGGCAGCGACACUAUGUGUUGUUGGGUAGGGGAGCGUUCUGUAAGCCUGUGAAGGUGGCCUGUGAGGGUUGCUGGAGGUAUCAGAAGUGCGAAUGCUGACAUAAGUAACGAUAAAGCGGGUGAAAAGCCCGCUCGCCGGAAGACCAAGGGUUCCUGUCCAACGUUAAUCGGGGCAGGGUGAGUCGACCCCUAAGGCGAGGCCGAAAGGCGUAGUCGAUGGGAAACAGGUUAAUAUUCCUGUACUUGGUGUUACUGCGAAGGGGGGACGGAGAAGGCUAUGUUGGCCGGGCGACGGUUGUCCCGGUUUAAGCGUGUAGGCUGGUUUUCCAGGCAAAUCCGGAAAAUCAAGGCUGAGGCGUGAUGACGAGGCACUACGGUGCUGAAGCGACAAAUGCCCUGCUUCCAGGAAAAGCCUCUAAGCAUCAGGUAACAUCAAAUCGUACCCCAAACCGACACAGGUGGUCAGGUAGAGAAUACCAAGGCGCUUGAGAGAACUCGGGUGAAGGAACUAGGCAAAAUGGUGCCGUAACUUCGGGAGAAGGCACGCUGAUAUGUAGGUGAAGCGACUUGCUCGUGGAGCUGAAAUCAGUCGAAGAUACCAGCUGGCUGCAACUGUUUAUUAAAAACACAGCACUGUGCAAACACGAAAGUGGACGUAUACGGUGUGACGCCUGCCCGGUGCCGGAAGGUUAAUUGAUGGGGUUAGCGGUAACGCGAAGCUCUUGAUCGAAGCCCCGGUAAACGGCGGCCGUAACUAUAACGGUCCUAAGGUAGCGAAAUUCCUUGUCGGGUAAGUUCCGACCUGCACGAAUGGCGUAAUGAUGGCCAGGCUGUCUCCACCCGAGACUCAGUGAAAUUGAACUCGCUGUGAAGAUGCAGUGUACCCGCGGCAAGACGGAAAGACCCCGUGAACCUUUACUAUAGCUUGACACUGAACAUUGAGCCUUGAUGUGUAGGAUAGGUGGGAGGCUUUGAAGUGUGGACGCCAGUCUGCAUGGAGCCGACCUUGAAAUACCACCCUUUAAUGUUUGAUGUUCUAACGUGGGCCCCUUACCGGGGUUGCGGACAGUGUCUGGUGGGUAGUUUGACUGGGGCGGUCUCCUCCUAAAGAGUAACGGAGGAGCACGAAGGUUGGCUAAUCCUGGUCGGACAUCAGGAGGUUAGUGCAAUGGCAUAAGCCAGCUUGACUGCGAGCGUGACGGCGCGAGCAGGUGCGAAAGCAGGUCAUAGUGAUCCGGUGGUUCUGAAUGGAAGGGCCAUCGCUCAACGGAUAAAAGGUACUCCGGGGAUAACAGGCUGAUACCGCCCAAGAGUUCAUAUCGACGGCGGUGUUUGGCACCUCGAUGUCGGCUCAUCACAUCCUGGGGCUGAAGUAGGUCCCAAGGGUAUGGCUGUUCGCCAUUUAAAGUGGUACGCGAGCUGGGUUUAGAACGUCGUGAGACAGUUCGGUCCCUAUCUGCCGUGGGCGCUGGAGAACUGAGGGGGGCUGCUCCUAGUACGAGAGGACCGGAGUGGACGCAUCACUGGUGUUCGGGUUGUCAUGCCAAUGGCACUGCCCGGUAGCUAAAUGCGGAAGAGAUAAGUGCUGAAAGCAUCUAAGCACGAAACUUGCCCCGAGAUGAGUUCUCCCUGACUCCUUGAGAGUCCUGAAGGAACGUUGAA